rnacentral:misc_RNA from 1 species
GGAAGUAAAACGUAACAAGGUUUCCGUAGGUGAACCUGCGGAAGGAUCAUUAUUGUAUAACCUAGGUGCGAGGGCUGUCGCUGACCCGAAAGGUCGUGCACGCCCGAGUGCCCUCACACACAUCCAUCUCACCCCUAUGUGCACCACCGCGUGGGUCCCCCUUUGGCUUGUUCGGAGGGGGGCUUACGUUUUCACACAAACUUUGUAUGCAGUGUAGAAUGUAUUUUUUGUUUUUGCGAUCACGCAAUCAAUACAACUUUCAACAACGGAUCUCUUGGCUCUC